rnacentral:lncRNA from 1 species
AGGGAUCUUUGGUGACGAGACCACUGCUGCGUGCAUUCGACUCGACCGACGGAUGGAUGCGAGGUACCGUGAUGUGCCUUAUCUCUGCAGACUCUGCUUGGUUGUGCCGAUGUCCACGGGCGCCUCGGAGUGGGAUGUACACUGCGACUGUAGAGUAGUAGACCUGCAGCUCCAAAGUGCCGUGCCGGUCCCUCGCCACAGGACGGUAGUACUGCGAGUGGCUUGUUCGGUAGGGUGGUUCUAGGCUAGCACGGGCCCGGGAUGGGCUGCUGAACCGCUCAAGAGGCGGCGUGGCUGCUCACAGCGACACGACAAGCUGAGAGCCUGGGACCAGGCUUAAGUUAACCACGUACUCGUGGUACCACAGACUAUGCUCUGAGGCCGGUACUUGUGAUUGCAUAUGGUCGUAUGUUUUCCGCGGCCCAGACAAAAGUUGCCGCGAACACUAGUUUACAGUUUAGUGUACAGCCGCGUUGGUGAAAGAGCCUUUUGUGAUCGGUUCAGGUUGGAACUUGUAAAGCGUGGCGUCGCAGACCACCGUUUUAACACCACGCCGUGCGUCAGGUGGAGAAAACACAGCCGCACCCGCCGCUCCGGCGCGGCAAAGGAAUACCCCAGCCUUCCGCACACGGGCGCCGUCGCAGCCACUUCGUCAGCCGCGACCUGCCGUUCCACCAAACGGUCAGCCGGUCCGCGCCGCCUGACGACCCUGGCUACGGGUUCACCGUUCACGGCUCGUCACGCCAUCUCGGCUGACGCGGGGGGCCGGGGGCGCGCGCGUGCCGCGCCGCGUCGGUCCAAUCCAACAGCCCAGCCCGGGCAAGCGAAAAGCAAGCGUACAAGUGCGACCGGGCGGCUACUUUUGGCCACCAACGGCGCGCCACGACGCUGACGCGCGCGAGGGGGAUAUUCCUGCGCCGGAACGGCACCCGGCGCCGAGACCGCGCGCUUUUCCGCUCUCCACUUUUCCGCCGUGGCUAACCCCAACCGCUCGGUGAGCCGCACGGUGAGGCGGUCACAUGCCGAAGCCGCGCGGCCGGCGCCCCACCAGAAGAGGUCGCGUACGGCCGGGUACGCGCAGCGGGGGCCCGGCCUGGCUCGGGCGGUCGCCGGGAGCCAGUCUCGUCUCGUCUCGGUACCCCCGGCUGGCCGGCGGGCAGGAGGACCGGGGGCAGACGCUGCGGUCGUGGAGUGACGAACGGGAGCGCCGCCGCCCCUCUAGGACCAGAGAGCCGCGACUGGCUGUCGAUCGAUGCGCGGGGACGUACGAGUUACGAGCCGCCCUCUCUUCUUCUAAGUAAGUGGGUUCAUUCAUAGCUUUGUUGGUUCCAAGCAUAUAACCGACCAUAAAUUUAGAGUAAAUAUACAAAUUUCUUAACAAUAAAUUAGUUCUAAUUGUUCAAACCCAUUGAUCUACUAUAUAAUAACCUUUGCUAAUGACACAGAUGAGAGAUAUGAAGGAAGCACUCCUCGAGAUAGAAAAAAUCAGGGCAAUUCAAGAACAACUCAGUGAAUUUCUUCUGGACGAGGUAGUAAAUCCAGCGAGGGAGUUCCAUAAUGAUGGAUCAAAUCUACAUCACCGUCAGGACUCGGGUUCAAAAUAGUCGAUCCAAAAUGUUGAACUCGGAAAGUUGAUGCAAUGUAAUAUUAUUCAUACAUGUGUAUGCACAAUAUAUAUGUAUAUAUAUAAUAUUAUAGAUAAAUACAACUAUAUAUAUAUUAGUGUAUUAGAAUAAAAGAAAUAAAUACGAAAUACUAAUAUAGAAUAAAGAAACAGAAAAGAAAAUAAGAAAAGAAAUAGAAAAAAAG